rnacentral:rRNA from 1 species
GCGGCGUGCUUAACACAUGCAAGUCGAACGAUGAAGCCCUUCGGGGUGGAUUAGUGGCGAACGGGUGAGUAACACGUGGGCAAUCUGCCCUUCACUCUGGGACAAGCCCUGGAAACGGGGUCUAAUACCGGAUAACACUCCUGCCUGCAUGGGUGGGGGUUAAAAGCUCCGGCGGUGAAGGAUGAGCCCGCGGCCUAUCAGCUUGUUGGUGAGGUAGUGGCUCACCAAGGCGACGACGGGUAGCCGGCCUGAGAGGGCGACCGGCCACACUGGGACUGAGACACGGCCCAGACUCCUACGGGAGGCAGCAGUGGGGAAUAUUGCACAAUGGGCGAAAGCCUGAUGCAGCGACGCCGCGUGAGGGAUGACGGCCUUCG